CAGGGAUCAAACCUGCAUCCUCAUGGAUACUAGUUGGGUUUAUUACCACUGAGGCAAAACAGGAACUCCAAGAUUUUCUUUUUAUCACUGGUUUUGAGCAAUUUGAUUAUGAUGUGUCUUGGGUCAUUCUCUGCAUGUUUCUUAUGCUUGGAAUUAAUUUCAUUUCUUGAAUUCAUUGGGUAAUAGUGUCUUUUUUAUCAAGUUUGAAAAAAAAUUGGCUAUUAUUUCUUCAAAUAGUUUUUCUUGUCUCUCCACCCCCCACCUCUCCUCUCCUCUGGAGAUUCCAAUUACUUAUAUAUUAGUCUCCUUAAAGUCCCACAAUUCAAUGAUGUUCUCAUAUUAACAAAAAACCUUUUUUCUCUAUGUGUUUCAUUUUGGAUCCUUUCUAGUGCCAUGCAUUUAGAUUCACUAAUAUUUUCUUCUACCAUAUCUAAUCUGUCAUUAAUCCUGUCUCAUACACUGAUAUUUUUCCUCUUAGACAUGGUAGCUUUCAAUUCUAGAUGUUCAUUUUUAAAAACCAUCAUCUAUGUAUGUACUUAACUUUUUGAACAUAUGGAAUAUAGUUAUAAUGACUGUUUUAAUGUGAUUGUAUGCCAAUUUUAACAUCUGUUGUCUGUUCUGGGUUUGAUUCAGUUCAUUGAUUAUUCUCCUCAAUCAUGGAUCAUGUUUUUCUACUUCUUUUUUAUGGCUGGUUAAUAUUUUAUUAGAUCUCAGACAUUAUGAAUUUUGCUUUGUUGAGUCCUGGCUAUUUUUAUAUUCCUGUAAAUAUUCUUGUGGUUUUUUUCCCCUUAGGAUGAUGUAGCUAAAUUACUUGGAAAGAGUUGAUCCUUUUGAAUCUUGCUUUUAUGAUUCGUUAGGCAGAUCUAGAGCAUUGCUCAGUGUAGGGCUCAUUAUUCCUUAUUACUGAGGCAAGAGCUUCCUGCAUAUUCCACCCAAUAACCCAUGAAUUAUUAGCUUUUCUGGUCUGGCACAUGGAAGUGUUGCUAUCUCUGGCUCUGUGUGAGGUUUGGGCCCUGUUUGCUAAUCUUUUCAUAUUGUUCCCGCCCAACCCCACUGUGGAUGGCUUUCUCACAUAUAUGAACUUACCAGUACUCAGCUGAAUGUUUAGAAGGGCCCCUCUGUAGAUUUCCAGGGUCCUCGCGCUCUGAACAUCUUCCUCUUUGCUACUCUGAGCUGCUUUUAUUUCAUCAGAUGCUUAGGUUUGGCCCUUCAACCAGAGGAGUCCGCUAGGCUCCACCUGGAUUCCCUCUCCCUCUCUCAAAGCCUGUAAACUCCAAGGAAGUAAGCUGUAGGAAUUGCAGGGCUCACUUGUUUUAUUUCCUGUUUCUCAGAAAUUAUUCUCCUUCAUUUCCUGAUGUCCCAUUGUCUUUGAAAGUGUGGUUUCUUAUAUUGUGCCUGUUUUAAAAAAAAUAUUGUGUUGGAUGAGAGGGUAAAUCUUAGCCCUGUUACUCCUUCUUGAAUCUAUAAUUGACUACUUCAAGAUAAAAUAAUGUAUUUGAGGUUUAAAACAUAAGUAGAAGUAACAUGUAUGGGGACAAUAUACAAGGAAUGGAACAGGAGAAAUGGAUGUGUACUGUUGUAAGGUUUUUACAAUAUAUGUGAACUGGCACAGUGUUACUUGAAAGUAGACUUUGAUAAGUCAAACAUGUGUAAUGUAAACCCUUAGAGCAACUAAGAAUCAAAAAAACAUCCAAUAAUAGGAAAUGGUAACCAAAACCCCACAUAGGACAGAUUUUACUUUAUUUUUGACUGCACCUGUAGCAUGUAGAAGUCCCCAGGCCAUGGAUCGAACCUGUGCCACAGCAGCGACCUGUACUGUUUCAGUGACAACACCAGAUUCUUAACCUGUUGUGCUACAAAGGAAUUCCUAGGACAGAUUUUUAAAAAUAACAGGAUGGUAAAUUUAAACCAGUGAUAUAAAUAAUUACACUAAGUAUAAUAUCAUUUAAAUACUCCAGUUAAAAGGCAGAAAUUUGAAGAUAGGAUAAAAUGGCAAGACCUAACUAUAUGUCAUCUAUAAGAAGCCUACUUUAUAUGACAGGUUAAAACUAAAAAGAUGGACAAAUAUUUAUAGUGCAAAGCUUAAUUCAAAGAAAUUUCAAGUGAUUGUACCAUACAAAGUAGACUUCAGAACAAGGAAUAUUACCAGGGAUAAAGAGAGACAUUAAAUGAUGAUAAAUGGAUCAGUUAAUCAAAAGGACAUUACCAUCAUCCUAAAUGUGUAUAUACUGAACAUCAGAGCUUCAAUAUAUAUGAAACAAAAAGUGAUAGAGCUAAAAAAAGACAUAGACAAAUCUAUAGUUAUAGAUGGAGAUUUCAACAUUCUUCUCGGUAAUUGGCAGAACAAGUACACAAAAACCCAGUAAGAAUAGAGAAGGAUUUAACAACAUUAUCCAUCAACUUGACCUAAUUGACGUUUAUGGAACACUCCACCCAACAGCAUCUGGAUGUGCAUUCUUUUCAAGUGCUCAUGGAACAUUUACAAAGAUAGAGCACAUUCUGAGCCAUAAAGCUAAAUAAAAAAUAUGAGACUCAUACAAAUCAUUUUCUCUGAAUGCAACAGAAAUAAAUUUGAAAUCAAUAACAAAAACAUAACUGGAAAAUCCCCAAAUAUUUGUUGAUUAAAUGGCAUAUUCUUAAGUAAACAAUGGGCCAAAGAGGAAAUCACAAGGGAAAUCAGAAGAUAUUUUACACUGAAUGAAAACGAAAACAAAGCAUAUCUAAGUGUGUGUGGUGCAUCUCAGGCAGUGCUUAGAGAGAAAUUUAUAGCAUUAAAUGGUUGUAUUAGAAGAAGAAAGGUCUUAUUAGAUCAAUUAUUUGUUAUACCAUAAAGUAUUUUUGGUUUAUAAAAAAUAUUUUUAUAAUUAUAUAAAAAAGCAAAUUAAAAUCAAAAGGAAAAGAGAAAUAAUAAAGAGAAAAAUUUUAUUUUAUUUUUUUGGCUGUCCCAUGGCAUAUGGAGUUCCCAGACCAGGGAUCAGAUCUGAGCUGCAGUUGUGACCUAGAUCCCAGUUGUGGCAAUGCCAGAUCCUUAAUCCACUGUGCUGGCUGGGUAUUGAACCUGCAUCCCAGGGCUCCAGAGACACCACUAAUCCCAUUGUGCCACAGAGGGAACUCCAAGAGAGGAAAAUUUUAAAAAUAGAAAAAGAAUGGGGUGGGAAGGAGGGGAGGGGAAAAGAGAGAGAGAGACUGACUUCAAAAGCUGGCUCUUUGAAAAUAUCAAUAAAAUUGACAAAUAUCCAGCCAUAUUAAUCUGGCAAAAAAGGGAGAGAAGACACAAAUUACAAAAAUCAGGAAUAAAAGAGGGACUAUUACAAUAGAUUCUACGGAUAUUAAAAGGAAAAUGCAGAGUUCGCUUGUGGUUCAGCAGGUUAAGGAUCUGGCACUGUCACUUCUGUGGCUCUGGUUAUAGCUGUGGUGCGGGUUUAGUGCGAGUUUACAGUGUGGUGCGGGUUUCUGGACAUUUCAUAUGAAUGGGAUUAUAAAAUACAUGACCUUUUGUGUCUGGAUUCUUUCACGUAGCAUAAAUUCCCUGGCCCAGGAAUUUCCACAUGUUGCAGGCACAGCAAAAAAAAGGUAAUGUGAAAAUAUUAUAAACAAACUUCAACCAAUAAAUUCCACAACUAGACAAAAUGGGCAAAAUACCUGAAAUGCACAAACCACCAAAUCUCACUCUGGAAGAAAUAAAAAUUCUGAAUAGCCUUUAACCUACUUUUUAUUGAGCUAUAAUUCAUAUAACACAAUUUCAUGACCAUCUUCAAGCAUACAGUUCAGAGGUUUUUAGCACAUUCGCAGGGUUGUACAACAAUCAGCUCCAUCUAACUCCAGGCUGUUUUCAGCGCCCUAGAAAGAAACCCCAUACCUAUUACUAGUCAUUCCUCAUUUCCUUCUUUCCCCAACCCAUGAUAGUACUAUUUUACUUGCAGUCCUUAUGGAGUUGCCAAUUCUGGACAAUUCAUAUGAAUGGGAUCAUAAAAGACAUGACCUUUUGUGUCUGGAUUCUUUCACGUAGCAUAAAUGUUCAAGACGAAUCCAUGUUUUACCAUGUAUCAGUACUUCAUUCUUGAUUAUAGUUGAAUAAUCUAUCUUAUGGACAUACCACAUUUUGUUGAUGGACAUUUAGGUUUCUACUUUUUUACUGUUAUGAAUAAUGUUUCAGUGAAUGUUCCUCUACAGGUUUUUGUGUGCACAUAUAUUUUCACUUUUGGUCAUGUACCUAGGAGUGGAAUUUCUGGGUCAUAUGGUAACCCAUUUUAACUUUUUUAGAAACUGCCAAACUGUUUUCCAUAGCAACUGCCCCAUUUUACAUUACUACCAGCAAUGUCUGAAGGUUCCAAUUACUCCACAUCCUUGUCAAGAUUUGCUCAUUAAAAAACAAAAAAGAAAAAAUAGCCAGGAGUUCCCGUCAUGGCUCAGUGGUUAACAAAUCCGUUAGGAACCAUGAGGUUGCAGGUUUGAUCCCUGGCCUUGCUCAGUGGGUUAGGGAUCUGGCAUUAGCUACCAUUGCCGGCCUGCGCCAGGCCUGCACGGGCACGGCCACACCAGAGCUGAGCCGCAUCUGCACACUAUACCAUAGCUCAGGGCAACUCCAGAUCCUUAACCCACUGAGUGAGGCCAGGGAUCGAACCUGGAUCCUCAUGCAUAAUAGACAGAUUUCUUUCUGCUGAGCCACAAUGGGAACUCCUUGAACAUCUUUUUGUAUGCUUAUUGGCCAUUUGUAUAUCUUUGGAGAAAUGUCCAUCCAAAUCUUUUGCCUAUUAUUUUAAAAACUGGAUUAUUUGUCUUUUUUUUCUUUUUUUAUUUAUCUUUUUCCUGCUAUACAGCAUGGGGAUCAAGUUAUACUUACAUGUAUACAUUCCCCCCCCCCUUUGUUCUGUUGCAAUAUGAGUAUCUAGUCCUAGUUCUCAAUGC
rnacentral:lncRNA from 1 species